rnacentral:rRNA from 1 species
UACGUAGGGUGCGAGCGUUUAAUCGGAAUUACUGGGCGUAAAGCGUGCGCAGGCGGUUUUGUAAGCCAGGUGUGAGAUCCCCCGGGCUCAACCUGGGAAUGGCAUUUGGGACUGCAAGGCUGGAGUGCGGCAGAGGAGACUGGAAUUCCUGGUGUAGCAGUGAAAUGCGUAGAUAUCAGGAGGAACACCCGUGGCGAAGGCGGUUCUCUGGGCCUUACCUGACGCUGAGGAGCGAAAGCGUGGGGAGCGAACAGG